rnacentral:rRNA from 1 species
GGAACAACAGCUGGAAACGGCUGCUAAUACCCCAUAGGCUGAGGAGCAAAAGGAGGAAUCCGCCCAAGGAGGGGCUCGCGUCUGAUUAGUUAGGUGGUGAGGCAAUGGCUUACCAAGGCGACGAUCAGUAGCUGGUCCGAGAGGAUGAUCAGCCACACUGGGACUGAGACACGGCCCAGACUCCUACGGGAGGCAGCAGUGGGGAAUUUUCCGCAAUGGGCGAAAGCCUGACGGAGCAAUGCCGCGUGAUG